GGAGAGCACGGAGAUUUCUGGGGCUUUGGAGGGAAUCGUGAGCGGGCGGGAGGAGGCCGGGGACCACACAGAGAAUAACUUGUCUGACUACCAGUAUUCUUGGAUGCAGAAGUGCUGAAGAUGAGCACACACACGUACGGAGAAUUUCUGGAGAAUUCAGCUGCUCAGAACAAGAACUGAGAUCCAGAGAGAUGAUGACUUUGCCCAUAGACCAAACAAAGAAAUACAUGUUUCAGUCCUGUGUCCUCCUGCUAUGUGUGUCCGGAAUUGGUGGGUUCUUGGUCUCACUGACUUCAAGAAUGAAGCUGCGGACCCUCGCGCUCACAGGAUAUCGGCCAUGUUAAUGAGUCUGAUGUUGCUAGUAUCACAGGCACCGGAAAAUAUGCACAUUAUGCUGGAGCAUUAGAAUGCAACAGAAAGAGCCCUGGGCUUGGAGUAUGCAGAACUGGUUCUUGUUACAACUCCUCUUACUAGUGGGCUCUGGAAGAAAACACAUUGAAUUCAUGAUCAUGGUUAACCUUUGGAGAGAGAGAGGAGACCAGGAUGAAGGAGCCAGUCGAAGAUCCUGUUCAAGUGUACACUGAGCCAGCAGGUUCACCAGAAAGCUAUUGAGCGUUUGCUGGAACACAUUAUGCAGGGUGAAUUUCUUCUGGAAUGUUGCCAAGGAUUUUUUAUGCUUCUGUGGCAGGCAUUUCUUGAACAUUGUCAUUUAGCCAAGCAAAGAAGAUUUUCUUAAAGGAUAGAAAAUGUUUAAAAAUUUUUGUUUGUUUGAAGAUAGGUUAAAUGGCUAUAUGAUCUCAGGAUAAGACAGAGAAAAUCACUUAUUUCUCUAAGUGAUCUGAUUAGGUUAGUGAUGUUUUGCCUUUAAACAGAUUCAUCAUUAUUCCUAAAGUAUUGCUGUAUUAAUACUGUCUUCUAGAAAGUAUCCACCAGUGCCUACUUUUCUUCGAUAUCAUUAGCUGUUUUUCGAAACUGAAUUUGCUCUUCAGAGAUUUCUCAUAUGUUUGCGUAUAAGGAACUACUGGUAAUAGCCAAGAAAAUUUGGAGGUGCAGAGAACAUGCUGAAACAGAAUUUUUCACUUUCAAUUCUAGAACUAUGCCAUAAAAAAAAA
rnacentral:lncRNA from 10 species